CACCACGAAUCGAUUUCACCGCUCUAGUCUUCACCUCGGAGUCCAUGGAUGCCAUUCAUUUCCAUGAUCGUCCCCGAGGAAAAUUAUUGCUGCCACGUUGACCCGUUGUCCUUGCAGUGAUGUUGUCAUCACUGGCUGCUGCUGGGUUCUCACCAACAGCAAGGUCGCCCCUCCCUCUCCCAUCUCUGAUCACGCUACCUAUGACCCUCUCAUCCAUCUCCUUGAUCCCUGGUUUGCUACAGAUUCUCUCCAAGAUCGAAUCAUCGAUGUCAUCUUUGUGAACGUGCUGGUGGCAUCGAUCCUAGUGGCCAUGUUGAUGGUACCGUUGGCCCUUGCCAAAUAGUAAGGUCAUCCCUCUGAUUUCCCUCUCUAGUCUUGUUGUCCGUACCUCUCUCAUAUGUCUCCUUGAUUUGUAAUGAGGCAUGGAUGAUCCCCAACGUGCUUUCGGUACUGUUCUGUUGAUCACCAACAACAUCUUUUCGAUGCCAGCUGCUGCCAACCACAUCAUCAAUUGUUAAAAUUCCUUGAUGUAAGAACCUUGUAAUAUCCUACAUGAUGUUUUCAUGUUCAUGUAGCAAACCAUGUACUCAUAUUUAUUUUUGAUCGAAUUUCUACAAAGUUCUCCCCGCAAUCGUGUUGUUGUCCUUUUCGGACAGCGGUGCUAUUGUCAGUCAGCCUUCAUGUUCUCCAACGAUCCAACAUGGUCUAUGAUGAAUCCGUUGACUAUAACAUCACUUAUAUAUUUACACACAUCUCUGCAAAA